rnacentral:rRNA from 1 species
UUGGAGGGCAAGUCUGGUGCCAGCAGCCGCGGUAAUUCCAGCUCCAAUAGCGUAUAUUAAAGUUGUUGCAGUUAAAAAGCUCGUAGUUGAAUUUCGGGGUCAGUAGAUUGGUCAUGCCACUGGUAUGUACUGGUCUCACUGAUUCCUCCUUCCUGAUGAGCCGUAAUGCCAUUAAUUUGGUGUUGCGAGGAAUCUGGACUGUUACUUUGAAAAAAUUAGAGUGUUUAAAGCAGGCUAACGCUUGAAUACAUUAGCAUGGAAUAAUGAAAUAGGACGUUCGAUAUCUUAUUUUGUUGGUUUCUAAGAUUGACGUAAUGAUUAAUAGGGAUAGUUGGGGGCAUUAGUAUUCAAUUGUCAGAGGUGAAAUUCUUGGAUUUAUUGAAGACUAACUACUGCGAAAGCAUUUGCCAAGGAUGUUUUCAUUAAUCAAGAACGAAAGUUAGGGGAUCGAAGACGAUCAGAUACCGUCGUAGUCUUAACCAUAAACUAUGCCGACUAGGGAUCGGAUGAUGUUAAUUUUUUAAUGACUCAUUCGGCGCCUUACGGGAAAC